rnacentral:rRNA from 1 species
GACGAACGCUGGCGGCGUGCCUAAUACAUGCAAGUAGAACGCUGAAGGAGGAGCUUGCUCUUCUGGAUGAGUUGCGAACGGGUGAGUAACGCGUAGGUAACCUGCCUGGUAGCGGGGGAUAACUAUUGGAAACGAUAGCUAAUACCGCAUAAUAGUAGAUGUUGCAUGAUAUUUACUUAAAAGGUGCAAUUGCACCACUACCAGAUGGACCUGCGUUGUAUUAGCUAGUUGGUGGGGUAACGGCUCACCAAGGCGACGAUACAUAGCCGACCUGAGAGGGUGAUCGGCCACACUGGGACUGAGACACGGCCCAGACUCCUACGGGAGGCAGCAGUAGGGAAUCUUCGGCAAUGGACGAAAGUCUGACCGAGCAACGCCGCGUGAGUGAAGAAGGGUUUCGGAUCGUAAAGCUCUGUUGUAAGAGAAGAACGAGUGUGAGAGUGGAAAGUUCACACUGUGACGGUAUCUGACCAGAAAGGGACGGCUAACUACGUG